AACGAACGCUGGCGGCAUGCCUAACACAUGCAAGUCGAACGAUGCCUUCGGGCAUAGUGGCGCACGGGUGCGUAACGCGUGGGAAUCUGCCUUUCGGUUCGGAAUAACUCAGGGAAACUUGAGCUAAUACCGGAUAACGUCGCAAGACCAAAGAUUUAUCACCGAAAGAUGAGCCCGCGUAGGAUUAGCUAGUUGGUGAGGUAAAGGUUCACCAAGGCGACGAUCCUUAGCUGGUCUGAGAGGAUGAUCAGCCACACUGGGACUGAGACACGGCCCAGACUCCUACGGGAGGCAGCAGUGGGGAAUAUUGGACAAUGGGCGAAAGCCUGAUCCAGCAAUGCCGCGUGAGUGAUGAAGGCCUUAGGGUUGUAAAGCUCUUUUACCCGGGAAGAUAAUGACGGUACCGGGAGAAUAAGCCCCGGCUAACUCCGUG
rnacentral:rRNA from 1 species